UACGGAGGGUGCAAGCGUUAAUCGGAAUUACUGGGCGUAAAGCGCGCGUAGGCGGUUUGGCAAGUCAGAUGUGAAAGCCCUGGGCUCAACCUGGGAACUGCAUUCGAUACUGCCAGACUAGAGUAUGUUAGAGGAAGGUGGAAUUCCAGGUGUAGCGGUGAAAUGCGUAGAUAUCUGGAGGAACAUCAGUGGCGAAGGCGACCUUCUGGGACAAUACUGACGCUGAGGUGCGAAAGCGUGGGGAGCAAACAGG
rnacentral:rRNA from 1 species